GAUUAAGUUAUUAAGGGCGCACGGUGGAUGCCUUGGCACUAGAAGCCGAUGAAGGACGUUACUAACGACGAUAUGCUUUGGGGAGCUGUAAGUAAGCUUUGAUCCAGAGAUUUCCGAAUGGGGAAACCCAGCAUGAGUUAUGUCAUGUUAUCGAUAUGUGAAUACAUAGCAUAUCAGAAGGCACACCCGGAGAACUGAAACAUCUUAGUACCCGGAGGAAGAGAAAGAAAAUUCGAUUCCCUUAGUAGCGGCGAGCGAAACGGGAAGAGCCCAAACCAACAAGCUUGCUUGUUGGGGUUGUAGGACACUCUAUACGGAGUUACAAAGGACGACAUUAGACGAAUCAUCUGGAAAGAUGAAUCAAAGAAGGUAAUAAUCCUGUAGUCGAAAAUGUUGUCUCUCUUGAGUGGAUCCUGAGUACGACGGAGCACGUGAAAUUCCGUCGGAAUCUGGGAGGACCAUCUCCUAAGGCUAAAUACUCUCUAGUGACCGAUAGUGAACCAGUACCGUGAGGGAAAGGUGAAAAGCACCCCGGAAGGGGAGUGAAAUAGAACCUGAAACCGUGUGCUUACAAGUAGUCAGAGCCCGUUAAUGGGUGAUGGCGUGCCUUUUGUAGAAUGAACCGGCGAGUUACGAUUUGAUGCAAGGUUAAGCAGUAAAUGUGGAGCCGUAGCGAAAGCGAGUCUGAAUAGGGCGUUUAGUAUUUGGUCGUAGACCCGAAACCAGGUGAUCUACCCUUGGUCAGGUUGAAGUUCAGGUAACACUGAAUGGAGGACC
rnacentral:rRNA from 1 species